GACAGUAGGGAAUCUUCCACAAUGGACGAAAGUCUGAUGGAGCAACGCCGCGUGAGUGAAGAAGGAUUUCGGUUCGUAAAACUCUGUUGCAAGGGAAGAACAAGUAGCGUAGUAACUGGCGCUACCUUGACGGUACCUUGUUAGAAAGCCACGGCUAACUACGUGCCAGCAGCCGCGGUAAUACGUAGGUGGCAAGCGUUGUCCGGAAUUAUUGGGCGUAAAGCGCGCGCAGGUGGUUCCUUAAGUCUGAUGUGAAAGCCCCCGGCUCAACCGGGGAGGGUCAUUGGAAACUGGGGAACUUGAGUGCAGAAGAGGAUAGUGGAAUUCCAAGUGUAGCGGUGAAAUGCGUAGAGAUUUGGAGGAACACCAGUGGCGAAGGCGACUGUCUGGUCUGUAACUGACACUGAGGCGCGAAAGCGUGGGGAGCAAACAGGAUUAGAUACCCUGGUAGUCCACGCCGUAAACGAUGAGUGCUAAGUGUUGGGGGGUUUCCGCCCCUUAGUGCUGCAGCUAACGCAUUAAGCACUCCGCCUGGGGAGUACGGUCGCAAGGCUGAAACUCAAGG
rnacentral:rRNA from 1 species